CGGGAUGUCGUUUUUGGUCAAUUAAACUGUUAUUUGUCGCGCGGUGAAAACGGUCAAAAACCAAACUUCACGAGCUCCUUCAACCGACAUCUGCAAAGCUUCAAACUUUACGCAACCACCAACCAGAAUCAGACAAUUCAUUUUAGGGUUUUUAUACUUUCCCUAAAAUCCCAAAUCGAAUUUCAUCUCCCACCCAUUAACCAUGGCCAAUAAUAUUUCAGAAUCUUUGAAAGGUAAAAAGCGCGCGCGAGAGACAGAUACCGAAGCCGAAGCCAGCGAUUUCGAUCAGAUUUUAUCGCUAGAGGAAAAUCUUACAUUUAGUGACACAUUGGUGGCGCUUCGCAUAAUGAGAGCUCAGUUUCCCCAGAGUGACAAGGUAUCAGUUCAGCCUUUCAUUUUGCGGUCACAGUUGUAUAGCAGUGUAGAGGAUAGAACCCAAGUGGAUAGGGAUCUAGAGAAUCUAAGAAGGGAGAAAGUCCUGCGCAUUUUCAAGUUAAAUACUGGGCAAGAUGAUCAUGCAAUAAUGUUUUUUGAUGACUAUCUAUGCCAGAUGGAACGAGUUGUGAAAAGAUUGGAAGAAAAGAAGGACAGUGAUAUUCUUGAAGUUUUUAAGUGGUUUAAAUCACACGUCCUUGAUAACAAGUUCGAACCUAGUAUUGAACAUCAAGAACUUUGUACACUAUUAGCUCUUGGAGGAAAGGUGAAGGAUGAACACAUCUCCCUUUUAAUCAAUUCUGGCCUCCUUCUUUCUAACUAUGGCAUCUACUUCUAGACUCGGCAACUUAUUGACUCAAACAUUUAUUGGUUCGCAAUUCCAAAUAUCGGUUCAGUACUUAAAGGCCUCUCUCAGGGAAGAAAGGAAGUUCUUUCUCUUCUAAACCGCAGGAGAUACAAAGAAAUGAUGCUAGCACCUCUAGAGAAGAAGCUUCUUCGAUAUUCCCCACUUGAUAUGAGAUUUCAUCUUCGUGAUCUGAUAGGCUCAGGUCAUCUCAAAACUGCCAAGACACCAACAGGCUUAGUUGUUCGAGUCUCAAAAGAUUGAAACCGAGAAGAGUAUUUGCUCCCCAUUGAUUGAUGGAAAGAUUGCAUUUCUUCUCUUGGCUGUCAAAAUAGGUACACUGACUUAUGCUUUGAGGUCAUCAUUGCCUUAUUACGCUACGUAUAAAUUCUCCUAGAUACAUGACCAGAACUUUUGCAGGCUGUCCAAAGUGGACAAGCAAAGAUAUCAUAUCAGCAAACCGGCCCAACCCAAAGCCUAAGGAGAAUGGAUAAAACAUAACGUAUCUUCUCAGCUAGGUCUUGUAUAAUUCAUUUUUAUCUACUGUUUGGCAUCCAUAUGAAUUCAUUCUUAAUUCAAUUCUUCUGAUUGGAUUAUCCACUUAUUUAUUUUUAAUACGUUGUACUUGCUCAGCUUGGUUUGACAUCUUCACCAUUGGACUCGUGUAAACUCGGUAGGAUAAUGCAUUACAAU